CCUACGGGAGGCAGCAGUGGGGAAUAUUGCACAAUGGGGGAAACCCUGAUGCAGCGACGCCGCGGGAGUGAAGAAGUAAUUCGUUACGUAAAGCUCUAUCAGCAGGGAAGAAACACUGACCUUACGGUCAGCAGACGGUACCUGAGUAAGAAGCACAGGCUAACUACGUGCCAGCAGCCGCGGUAAUACGUAGGGGGCAAGCGUUAUCCGGAUUUACUGGGUGUAAAGGGAGCGUAGACGGUGCGCCAAGUCUGGAGUGACAUGCCGCCGCUUAACUGCGGAACUGCUUUGGAAAAUGGCGAACUAGAGUGCGGGAGGGGUAAGCGGAAUGCCUAGUGUAGCGGUGAAAUGCGGAGAUAGUAGGAGGAACACCGAUGGCGAAGGCGGCUUACUGGACCGUAACUGACGUUGAGGCUCGAAAGCGUGGGGAGCAAACAGGAUUAGAUACCCGAGUAGUC
rnacentral:rRNA from 1 species